UGUGUCACCUCUGUGUCACCUCUGUGUCACUUCCCUGUAUCACCUGUGUGUCACUUCUGUGUGUCACCUCCGUGUGUCACCUCUGUGUCACCUCUGUGUGUCACCUCUGUAUGUCACCGCUGUGUCACCGCUGUGUCACCGCUGUGUGUCACCUCUGUGUGUCACCUGUGUGUCACCGCUGUGUCACCGCUGUGUCACCUCCGUGUGUCACCUGUGUGUCACCUCUGUGUGCCACCUCUGUGUCACUUCUGUGUGUCACUCCAUGGUGUCACCUCACAUCCCCGCAUGGUGUCACCCAGUGUCACCCCAUGGUGUCACCCCACAUCCCCGCAUGGUGUCACCCAACGUCACCCCAUGGUGUCACCCCACAUCCCCGCAUGGUGUCACCCAGUGUCACCCCAUAAUGUCACCUCACAUCCCUGCAUGGCGUCACCCAGUGUCACCCCAUGAUGUCACCCCACAUCCCCGCAUGGUGUCACCCAGUGUCACCCCACGCUGUCACCCCACGCUGUCACCCCACGCUGUCACCCUCACCCCGCUGCUGUGUGUCACCGCUGUGUGUCACCGCUGUGUCACCUCUGUGUGUCAUCACUGUGUGUCACCGCUGUGUGUCACCUCCAUGUGCCACCUCUGUGUCACCUCUGUGUGUCACCUCCGUGUGUCACCGCUAUCACCGCCGUGUGUCACCUCUGUGUGUCACUGCUGUGUCAUCUCCUUGUGUCACCUCUGUGUCACCUUUGUUACCGCCAUGUGUCACCUCUGUGUCACCUCCAUGUGUCACCGCUGUGUCACCUCUGUGUCACCGCCAUGUCACCUCCAUGUCACCUUUGUGACACCUCUGUGUGUCACUGCUGUGUGUCACCUCUGCAUCACUUCACCUCACACCUCUGUCACCUCUGUCACCUCACCCCACUCCCAGUGUCACCGCGUGUCACCUCACCUCAGCCUUGGUGUCACCUGGUGUCACCCCACAUCCCCGCAUGGUGUCACCCAACGUCACCCCACACUGUCACCCCACUUCCCUGCAUGGUGUCACCCAGUGUCACCCCACACUGUCACCCCACAUCCUCGCAUGGCGUCACCCAGUGUCACCCCAUGGUGUCACCCCACAUCCCCGCAUGGUGUCACCCAGUGUCACCCCAUGGUGUCAUCCCACAUCCCCGCAUGGUGUCACCCAGUGUCACCCCACGCUGUCACCCCACGCUGUCACCCCCACCCCCGAUGUCCCACGGUGCCUCCACUCCCCGCAGCUGCAGCAGCAGAACCACCGCCACGUUGUGGCCGUUUAUCGCACGCAUCUCCUGAGCGCAGCGCAGGGCUCCCUGGAUGAAGCUGCACACCAACUGCUGCUGCACAUCGCUGCGCUGCGCUGAGCACACGAUGCCUGGGACGUCGGGACACCGGGGAUGGGGGGACGUGGGGGGACAUCAGAACACGGGGACACAUGGGGACAGGGGGGGACGUGGGGGGACAUCAGAACACGGGGACAUGUGGGGACAUCAGAACAUGGGGACAUGUGGGGACGUGGGGGGAUGUAUGGGGACAUCAGAACAUGGGGACACGUGGGGACGUGGGUAUGUAUGGGAACAUCAGAACAUGGGGAUAUAUGGGGACAUGGGGGGACAUCAGAACACGGGGACAUAUGGGGAGAUCAGAAUGCAGGGACGUAUGGGGAUGUGGGGGGACAUGGGGACGUCGGAGCAUGGGGACAUAUGGGAAGUGGGGGGGGGUGUGGGGACAUCGGAACACGGGGACACAUGGGGACGUGGGGGGACAUCAGAACAUGGGGACAUAUGGGGACGUGGGGACGUAUGGGGACGUAUGAACAUGGGGACAUAUGGGGAUGUGGGGGGGCAUAUGGGGACAUAAGGGGACGUGGGGACAUGAGGACAUAUGGGGACACAUGGGGACAUGGGGGGACAUGCGGGGAUUUGGGGCCGUGGCUCGGCGCAUAGGAGCGGAGCGGCGCAUAGAAGCGGAGUGGCGCAUAGAAGCGGAGCGGCGCAUUGAAGCGGAGCGGCGCAUUAAAGCGGAGCGGCGCAGCGCUGUGAAAGACGUGCGGUGCUUUUUUCAGAGCGGCUCAGCGCCCCACGCCGACCCUAUGGCCGCCCCACCGCCCUGUAGGACCCCCCAUAAAAUCCGUCCCUGCUGGACCCCCUCCCAAAGGACCCACCGCCUAUAGGACCCCCCACCAGAGCAGCCGCCUCCUAUAGGACCCGCUCCUACAGGACCCACCCGUCCCUAUGAAACCCGCUCCCAUAGAACCUGCCCCUAUAGAACCCACCCGUCCCUAUAAAACCCGCCCCUAUAAAACCCGCCCCCAUAGGAGC
ensembl:lncRNA